rnacentral:misc_RNA from 1 species
UUAAGUUCAGCGGGUAUUCCUACCUAAUCCGAGGUCAACCAUUAGAAAAUUAGGGGUUUUACGGCGAAUCGUACGGGCCACUGCAGAAGCGAGAAGAAUUACUACGCUAUGAGUGUACCGAACACUGCCACUGGUUUUGGGGAACUACCCUCUAGAGAGUAGAGUCCUAACACUACGCUACAGGGCGUAAGGGUUGAAAU